rnacentral:rRNA from 1 species
UACGUAGGGUGCGAGCGUUGUCCGGAAUUAUUGGGCGUAAAGGGCUCGUAGGCGGUUUGUCGCGUCGGGAGUGAAAACUCAGGGCUUAACCCUGAGCCUGCUUCCGAUACGGGCAGACUAGAGGUAUGCAGGGGAGAACGGAAUUCCUGGUGUAGCGGUGAAAUGCGCAGAUAUCAGGAGGAACACCGGUGGCGAAGGCGGCGACCUGGGUAGAUACUGACGCUGAGGUGCGAAAGCGUGGGGAGCAAACAGG